UACGGAGGGUGCAAGCGUUAUCCGGAUUCACUGGGUUUAAAGGGUGCGUAGGUGGGCUAGUAAGUCAGUGGUGAAAUCUCCGGGCUUAACCCGGAAACUGCCAUUGAUACUAUCAGUCUUGAAUAUUGUGGAGGUUAGCGGAAUAUGUCAUGUAGCGGUGAAAUGCUUAGAUAUGACAUAGAACACCAAUUGCGAAGGCAGCUGGCUACGCAUAUAUUGACACUGAGGCACGAAAGCGUGGGGAUCAAACAGG
rnacentral:rRNA from 1 species